UUUUGGCUCUCCAAGUGCCAAUCCAGUUUCCGGUCCUCCUUCUGUUCUCUGCUUUCUCCUUCGGCUGUGGGCGUGGAGAGAGGCGGCGGUUGGUCUCAUCAGCAACAGAUCCGGAGUCCCCGCUAUUGUUUCUCCCUAAUCUGAUUGAAAUCGAGGUGCUUUUGCCAUCGUCGGGAUCCGCCGAGAGCCUCCUUGUUCCCAAAAUGUCUGCGCUCAACGAUGGCAGCUCGUCCCCUCGAUCUCAGCAUGCCUCUCGUUGUUUCGAGGAUCUCCUGGAGUCUAUUAUUGUGGAUGUGGCGUCGGAGUGCCACCGGAUAGCGAGACUAGGUCUCGACCGGAACCUGGAAGAAGAGGAGGAGGAGCUGAGGCUCUCCGCGCAGGCCCGGGUAGCUGAUCCUGGCAGCAGCGGUGAAUCCAAUAGCAAGAACGUGGUCGAUAUCUUCGGGCAGACGCAUCCCGCCAUCGCCAGCGAGACUUUUAAUUGCAUGAAUUGCGGCAGACCCGUCACGGCCGGACGGUUCGCUCCUCACUUGGAGAAGUGUAUGGGCAAGGGACGAAAGGCUUGCACAAAGGCCACCAGGAGCAGUACAAUUGCAAGAAAUAGGCAUUCUCGUGGGAGUCCUGUAACGGUUUAUGCGCCCUAUUCCAAUGCUACCAACAGCAACAGAGUUCCCAAUGGCACCACAGCAGGGGAGGAGUAUACGGAUUACACGUUUGAGGAGCCCUGAUAUCUCUUCCCAAGGUUUAUAUAUCUUUUGUUCAGUUAGAUUAAUUUCUUCGUGUCCCCGACCAAAGUAGAAUACUCGAGUUGAAAAGUUCGGUUACAUGAUGAGGAUCCACUCCAAAUCAGGAUGACUUGCCUUCAGCCUCCACCUUGUUCUCAAGUUAAAGUUCUGAAGACUACGAGGUAUACACUAUAGCAGCUAAAAUUGGUGCUUGGUCCGUGGUUUAAAAUGUGAAGAUUUCCGUGGACACGAAUCUGCGCUGCCUGUGUUUCCACUCGGAGCGAAUAGCUUGCGGCUAGUAUCUACAAUUAGAAGGUGGAGUUGGCUAAUGUUUGAUUUUGAGUUUUUUACGUCCUACUCUCAGUCGCUCACUGGACUGGUACCUUUUCGGUGUCCCGACACAUGGCAUGGUAAUUUACAAAUCAAGACAGACUGAAGAAUUACUGAUAAAUACUGAUCGAUACACGUUGGUUCA